UAAAAUUGUCAGUUGUGAAUAAGUUUUCAAAACUUUGGCGCCUUUUCUGUUCACGGUGAUCAACAAGAAAAAAGUGUGCGUGGCAGAAAUCUGAAUUAAAUAUAGAAAAGGUUAAUAAAAUGCCACGCAAAAAGCAAAAGUGAUUAAGCCCGGUGUGCGUAAAUAUGGCGUAAAAUCAAAUUAUACCCCAGCUAUUUUAGAGGAAGCCCUAGAUAAAAUCCAAUCCAUUGAAAGAGUAAGCUCUAACAAUAUCACCAUAAAUGUUUUCAAAAAAUAAUGUUUUGGGGGCUGGACGAGGUAUUCAAAAAAUGAACGGUGCGUUGUAAAGAAGGAGAACAUAAUAUCUUUACUUAAAGAACAUUAAUUAACAAGAAGGGAUGGAAAGCUUUUCAUGGAUGAUGAUAUUUUGUUCAUGGAAUGGGGUAAAUGAUUUUUUCAAUAACAUUUUGCUCACCCGUAACCUAUGAUCUUAUCAGUAUUCAUUGAUCUAAUUUGAUAGAUAAAUAAGUGAACAAUUUUAUGUAUCUAUUAUAAUAUAUAUUAUUAAAAAAACAUGUGUUUCUGUUAAGCUUUUUUCACCUAUUCGGAGUAAAUAUUUUGGGCAAGGCAUCCCCAGUGAAUGGCAAUUUGAUGUCGUCUUUGUGUAUUAAGUGUAUAAUCUAUGGUCGUUGACACUCAAUUUAUUUUGACACCCCUACAUAUAUUUUAAUCUAAAUAAAAAUAUAAUGUUACUCAAUCAAAUAAUAAUUAGUGAAAUAUAGAGGAUUUUCAUUGUCCCAGAUAACUCCAUUCAAAGUUAUCCGAAAGUCGUUGUAACUUUGAAUGGCCACUAAAAUAUCAAUUUCUAAGCCUUUUCUGUAUUAAUCCAUCAUAUUGGUUAGAUAAUUUAAAUUUUGGAAAUGAAAGAACACUUACCACACUGUAUAAAAUAAUGCAACCAAUACAUUAAUUUUUCAGUGUACUUAAAAAUCUGCGAAAAGUGUAACUUGACUGUAUCCGAUGAGGAUUAAAAAUAUUUAUGCAUGUUUUAGUUUAAUUAAAAAUAAUUGUUCAUUGGA